rnacentral:rRNA from 1 species
AAAAUUUAAAAUAAAAAUACUAAAAUAGUAAAUAAAUAUUUAUUGAAACUUAAAUAAUUUGGCGGUAUUUUAGUUCAUUUAGAGGAAUCUGUUUAAUAAUUGAUAUUCCACGAAUAAAUUUACUUAAUUUAUAAUUUUAUAUAUCGUUGUUAUAAAAAUAUUUUUUAAUAAAAUUAAUAUUUAAAAAUUAAUAUGGUAAAUUAAAUCAGAUCAAGAUGCAGAUUAUAAUUAAGAAUAUAAUGGAUUACAAUAAAUUUAUUUAAAUGGAUUUUAAUUUGUAAAAUUUAAUUGAAGGUGGAUUUAAAUGUAAUUUUAUUUAAUUUAAUAAAAUGAUUAAAAAUUAAAAUAUGC